CCUUUUUGAUGACAAUGGCAAUGGGUGUGGCUAGAACUGGAACUAGUCAGUGACUCGAUGCCAAGUGUCAUAGGCAGCAAUGCCAGUGAUGGCACCUUAGGUUACAAGACCAUAUGGGUGUUUGUAUAUUGCUGUGUCCAUGUGUACAAUUCUUAGAUGGAGCAGGAUCUCAAGUUCAGCAUUUUCUAUGGUCUAGCAGUUUCACGUGGAGAAAAGGGGACACAUAGCUCUGUGUCAGCAGCUUAAAGCCCUUCCAGCCUCUUGCUGAUUUGAGGGCACUCACAGAAAGCCCAAGGCUUAUUAAAAAAAACACAAAUAAACCUUUCCAAAAGUGCCAGACCUGGCUUCAUCCACAGACUAGUCACCACUCCUGCAAUGAAGCAGCAGGGUGGCUGCCAUGUAAUAAGGCACAAUAGAUUCCUUGGUACUAGGGAUCCUGAGCAUCCUCUUGUCUGAUUUUUUGGUUGUGUUCUUUGUAAAUAACUAAGACCCGUUAUCAGCACAGGCACAGAUUAAAGACAGGCAAAUACAGCCAGCCAGCUUGGAAAGUCUCAUCUCUCAAAGUCAUCUUCACAGUCAGAAGUGUCACCCAUGGGGGAAGGAGAUGGUAAUGUAGUGACUGAACCAGGAUUGAGCCCCAAACUUGGUGAAUCUUCUCAGAUCACAGAAUCCAGGCAGUAUAGAGAAUUCUCCUUCUACUUCCCCUUACUUCAUCCUCAGAAUCUACUACUACACCCUCCUCUAAAAGAUGCUUUGUAAGCAAUAGCAUUCACUAGUCAUAAAAACAUUUUCCUAUUUGAGCUUUGUUUUUUCUUCUUAUUCUGGGUUUCUUUAGUUAUUGGUGUUAUAACAGUAGUGUUUUCUGCUAUUUCUCACAUGCAUAUAGAAUAGCAGGUGCAUUGUGAGUUAAGUAGGCUUUGGUGAGCCAGCCAGGGUUUCUAUGGUAAAAUACAUUUCAAGUUCAAAACAAAAAACUUAGAAACCGCCCAUGCCAUCUGCCAUCUGGCUACUACCACUAAGCAUAGCCUGUCUGAACUUCUGCUGAUAUGGAUCCUCCACUUAGAAAUACCUCUCUCUCCUCCCCAUCCUGACCACAGGCAGAACAUAAGACUUGCCAGUGUGACAAACCCAGAAGGCAUCGAUUUCUUAUAUUUGUGUACUGAUAUUUCAUCAUUAGACAGAUAAAUAUCCUUUGGGUCCUCCAGCCACAGAAGCUCCCACAAAGGAUGAGGUCUAAUGUGAGUCAUGGCCACACCAAGUCCUCAAGUCUGACCUGCACAGGAAUGGAGAAAGUAUCAAUAAAUACAUCUCUACAGCAAGA